UGAGAACUAGUUUAUGUUUCGUAUUUGAUAAUGUGUGGAUUCUUUUUUUAGAUAGGAAAACUAAAAAAUUAAAAAAAUGUAUUUUCUUAGGAGGAAAUAAUUAUGGCAGUAACAGGACAAGUAAAAUGGUUUAACAACGAAAAAGGCUUCGGUUUCAUCGAAGUUCCAGGCGAAAACGACGUAUUCGUACAUUUCUCUGCAAUCGAAACUGACGGUUUCAAAUCUCUAGAAGAAGGUCAAAAAGUUAGCUUCGAAAUCGAAGAAGGUAACCGUGGACCUCAAGCUAAAAACGUAAUCAAACUAUAAUUUUAUAGUUUAUUAUAGAAAAAAGGAUGGCUGCUGCCAUCCUUUUUUUG
rfam:Bacillus anthracis str. 'Ames Ancestor', complete genome.